UACGUAAGGUGCAAGCGUUAAUCGGAAUUACUGGGCGUAAAGCGUGCGCAGGCGGUUUUGUAAGUCUGACGUGAAAUCCCCGGGCUCAACCUGGGAAUUGCGUUGGAGACUGCAAGGCUAGAAUCUGGCAGAGGGGGGUAGAAUUCCACGUGUAGCAGUGAAAUGCGUAGAGAUGUGGAGGAACACCGAUGGCGAAGGCAGCCCCCUGGGUCAAGAUUGACGCUCAUGCACGAAAGCGUGGGGAGCAAACAGG
rnacentral:rRNA from 1 species